rfam:Paxillus rubicundulus Ve08.2h10 scaffold_659_c1, whole genome shotgun sequence.
AGACUGGUAGCUCAGUUGGAGGAAGAGCACCACUGUACUACGCUGGAGGCCACAGGUUCAAUCCCUGUCUAGUCCA